UACGAAGGGGACUAGCGUUGUUCGGAAUUACUGGGCGUAAAGCGCACGUAGGCGGAUUUGUAAGUCAGGGGUGAAAUCCCGGGGCUCAACCUCGGAACUGCCUUUGAUACUGCAAAUCUCGAGUCCGAUAGAGGUGGGUGGAAUUCCUAGUGUAGAGGUGAAAUUCGUAGAUAUUAGGAAGAACACCGGUGGCGAAGGCGACACACUGGCCCGUUACUGACGCUGAGGCUCGAAAGCGUGGGGAGCAAACAGG
rnacentral:rRNA from 1 species